GUGCCAGAGCCGCGGUAAAACGUAGGAGGCGAGCGUUAUCCGGAUUUACUGGGCGUAAAGCGUACGCAGGUGGCUUCGUGAGUCGGACAUGAAAGCUCCCGGCUUAACUGGGAGAGGUUGUUCGAUACUGCGAGGCUUGAGGUUGGGAGAGGGACGUGGAAUUCCCGGUGUAGUGGUGGAAUGCGUAGAUAUCGGGAGGAACACCAGUGGCGCAAGCGGCGUCCUGGCCCACACCUGACGCUGAGGUACGAAAGCGUGGGUAGCAAACAGG
rnacentral:rRNA from 1 species